GAUGAACGCUGGCGGCGUGCCUAAUACAUGCAAGUCGAGCGGACAGACGAGGAGCUUGCUGCUCGGACGUGAGCGGCGGACGUGUGAGUAACACGUGUAUCACGUACCUAUAAGAGGGGUAUAACUUCGAGAAAGCGGAGCUAAUAGCGGAUAAUAUAUUGAACCGCAUGGGUGAAUAGUGAAAGACGGCUGUGCUGUCACUUAUAGAUGGAUCCGCGCCGCAUGAGGUAGUUGGUAAGGUAACGGCUUACCAAGGCAACGAUGCGUAGCCGACCUGAGAGAGUGAUCGGCCACCCUGGAACUGAGCCACGGUCCAGACUCCUACGGGAGGCAGCAGUCGGGAAUCUUCCGCAGUGGGCGAAAGCCUUGCGGAGCAACGCCGCGUCAGUGAUGACGGUCUUCCGAUCGUAAUACUCUCUUAUUAGGUAAGAACAACUGUGUCCGUAACUAUGCACUUCUUGACGGUACCUAAUCAGAAAGCCACGGCUAACUACGUG
rnacentral:rRNA from 1 species